rnacentral:rRNA from 1 species
AUUGAACGCUGCCGGCAGGCGUAACACAUGCAAGUCGCGCGGGUGAAGGGAGCUUGCUCUUGGAUUCAGCGGCGGACGGGUGAGUAAUGCCUAGGAAUCUGCCUGGUAGUGGGGGAUAACGUCCGGAAACGGGCGCUAAUACCGCGUACGUCCUGUGCGAGAGAGUGGGGGAUCUUCGGACCUCACGCUAUCAGCUGAGCGUAGGUCGGAGUAGCUAGUUGGUGGGGUAAAGGCCUACCAAGGCGACGAUCCGUAACUGGUCUGAGAGGAUGAUCAGUCACACUGGAACUGAGACACGGUCCAGACUCCUACGGGAGGCAGCAGUGGGGAAUAUUGGACAAUGGGCGAAAGCCUGAUCCAGCCAUGCCGCGUGUGUGAAGAAGGUCUUCGGAUUGUAAAGCACUUUAAGUUGGGAGGAAGGGCAGUAAGUUAAUACCUUGCUGUUUUGACGUUACCAACAGAAUAAGCACCGGCUAGCUUCGUG